rnacentral:hammerhead_ribozyme from 1 species
GCAUUGCUGAGGGGUCCCGCAAUAGGACGAAACCGCCGUCCAGUGC